CCCUUAGAUGUCCUGGGCCGCACGCGCGCUACACUGAGUGUCUGAGAUACGAGUCUGCCUAGCCGGCGAGGUCUAGGUAAUCACUGAAAGACACAUCAUGCUUGGGAUAGAUUAUUGCAGAUAUUAAUCUUGAACGAGGAAUUCCUAGUAAGCGCAAGUCAACAGCUUGCGUUGAUUACGUCCCUGCCCUUUGUACACACCGCCCGUCGCUACUACUGAUUGGAUGUUAAAGCGAGGUUCUCGAACUGCUAGCGACUUAGCUUCGGUGAGGUCGCCGUGUGGGAAGUGAACCUAGCUUUGGUGUCUAGAGGAAGUAAAAGUCGUAUCA
rnacentral:rRNA from 1 species